UACGGAAGGGGCUAGCGUUGUUCGGAUUCAUUGGGCGUAAAGGGUGCGUAGGUGGCGUGGUAAGUCGGGUGUGAAAUUUCGGAGCUUAACUCCGAAACUGCAUUCGAUACUGCCAUGCUUGAGGACUGGAGAGGAGACUGGAAUUCACGGUGUAGCAGUGAAAUGCGUAGAGAUCGUGAGGAAGACCAGUGGCGAAGGCGGGUCUCUGGACAGUUCCUGACACUGAGGCACGAAGGCCAGGGGAGCAAACGGG
rnacentral:rRNA from 1 species